rnacentral:rRNA from 1 species
GAUGAACGCUGGCGGCGUGCCUAACACAUGCAAGUCGAACGGAAAGGCCCUGCGUUUGUGGGGUUCUCGAUUGGCGAACGGGGGAGUAUCACGUGAGUAACCUGCCCUUGUCUUUCGGAUAACUUCAGGAAACUGGGGCUAAUAUCGGAUAGGAUCUCCUGCUCCGUGGUGGGGGUUGGAAAGUGUCGGCGGUCGGGGAUGGACUCGCGGCUUAUCAGCUGGCUGGUGGGGUAGUUGCUUACCAAGGGUUUGACGGGUAGGCGGCCUGGGAGCGUGACCGGGCACCAUGGGCCUGCGGUAGGCAGCAGUCGCGAACGGUAGGCAACAGGCGGAAGUCUUGCACAGCGGGCGGGCGCCUGAUGCGGCAGCCUUGCGUGCGUGAUGACGGCUUUCGGGGUGAAAACAGCUGUCGCCUGUGACGAAGCGUGCGUGACGGUAAUGGAUCAAGAAGCAACGGCUAACUACGUG